UAACCUUAAGCUCAAAUACCACUUAAGUCAUAUUCUCUAGUGAUCAUAAUCUAAACUUUAUAUCAUUCUAUCACGUUCUUAAUGAUCAUAAUCUUAAGCUCUGAUAUUAUCCAUUAUACUCCACUCGGUCACAUCCUAUUGAUCAUACAUAAAGUUUUGAUAUCACUUUAUAAUCUCAAUGAUCUUAAACCUAAGCUCUGAUAUUAUUCUAUCAUAUCCUAAUCAUUUAUAUCAUAAUCCCCAAUGAUUAUAACCUAAGCUCUGAUACCAUAAGAUGUCACGCCCCAAAUCCAGGACAUAACACGGCCAUGCUACCGAGGGAUGGAGCCCACGAUAACACGAAGCCAAUUCAUCAUAAUCAUCUAAAAUCCGUCAAAUAAAAAGAUUCAAUUCUAUUAUUCAUCAAAUAAUCGAACCAAUAUGGGUUCAGAGCAUCUAAAUCCAAAAGCAAGUACUAACCCGAAUCU
rnacentral:lncRNA from 1 species